rnacentral:rRNA from 1 species
AUUGAACGCUGGCGGAAUGCUUUACACAUGCAAGUCGAACGGCAGCACGGGGCAACCUGGUGGCGAGUGGCGAACGGGUGAGUAAUACAUCGGAACGUGCCCAAUCGUGGGGGAUAACGUAGCGAAAGUUACGCUAAUACCGCAUACGAUCUACGGAUGAAAGCGGGGGAUCGCAAGACCUCGCGCGAAUGGAGCGGCCGAUGUCAGAUUAGGUAGUUGGUGGGGUAAAGGCUCACCAAGCCGACGAUCUGUAGCUGGUCUGAGAGGACGACCAGCCACACUGGGACUGAGACACGGCCCAGACUCCUACGGGAGGCAGCAGUGGGGAAUUUUGGACAAUGGGCGCAAGCCUGAUCCAGCCAUUCCGCGUGCAGGAUGAAGGCCUUCGGGUUGUAAACUGCUUUUGUUACGGAACGAAACGGUUCUCUCUAAUACAGGGGCUAAUGACGGUACCGUAAGAAUAAG